UGUCUCUCUCUGUGUCCUGCCAGUGGUUUUACCCUAUGGUAGGUUACGUCAUGCUGUUCUACCACAGGGUAGAACCACGGACAGGAUACCGGGCGCUC
rnacentral:pre_miRNA from 19 species